rnacentral:rRNA from 1 species
UACGGAGGGGACUAGCGUUGUUCGGAAUUACUGGGCGUAAAGCGCACGUAGGCGGAUUGUUAAGUCAGGGGUGAAAUCCCGAGGCUCAACCUCGGAACUGCCUUUGAUACUGGCAAUCUCGAGUCCGGAAGAGGUGAGUGGAAUUCCUAGUGUAGAGGUGAAAUUCGUAGAUAUUAGGAAGAACACCAGUGGCGAAGGCGGCUCACUGGUCCGGUACUGACGCUGAGGUGCGAAAAGCGUGGGGGAGCAAACAGG